ensembl:lncRNA
AGUUUACAGCAUCAAGUCCUUCUUUCUGCCAUCAACAUUUUGCAAUAGAGAGAGCAUGACUUCCUCUUCUCAUAAGGUGAGAAGACAUAGAAAAUGGAAACCUGGCAGUUAAGCACUUUUACCUCCUCCAAGAAGGAGCUGCUUUAAACAACCGCGAAUAUGAAAAGAAAACAGUACAAAGUUAUUUUAAAACCAAAGAAAAUUACUGAAUAUUCUUGUUAAUUAAAAUAGGUCUUGGGGAGGAGGGUUAAUGAGCAUCAUUGAAACAUUGCUGUGGUGACCUCACUAGUUAAUUUUUACAUUAAUUCUUAUGCAUUAUAUUGUAAUGUUGGCAUGCAUUACGUGCAAAAUUGUACUUGUAUAUUUGUGUGUAUCCACAAAAUGUCUACAAAAGGAAGAGAUUUCCUAAACUGUUCAUAUGGGCAUGAAUUGCCAUUUUAUCAGCAAGGACAGAAAAAGGCAAUAGAUUUUAUAGAUACACCGUCUCACUGGGAUCAGCUGGAACAUGCACAGUUCACUUUUGGACCAGAAAAACCUACCUCAGCAGUAUUUUUGUUUGUCUUCACUGCAAUUUAUAUCUCCCAAGGAAAUGGUACUGCCUGUGUGAGGAAAGGGAAAAAAAGCAAUGUUUUGUCCUCCUGGAGAGAAAAGAAAAUGUAUUCUUACUGACUCCAGUUUUUCAACAUUCAGAGAUACCAAUUCUACUAACUUUGACGGUUAUUUUUAGAAAGCUGAUGUAGAGAAUAUGCAGGCAGUUAUUAAGCCAUUUGUCUAUUAUAGCAGAAGAUUAGGAAGGGUUUGAUCUUCACUCAUGCAAGGGCAUUGUCUUUACUUAUAAAAGCUCUGCACUGAGCACACAGGGGUUCCUAACCUGGGGCUAGAUCACACCCUCAGCCUCCCCUAUUAAACCCUGGGAGGGGUUUUUCUUGUGGACUUUCCCAAACAUCAUCCAGUCAAGAGGGCAACAGUUGCUGCUCUCCUCUUCCCCCACCACCAUCACCAUUUCCUCCCUUGCGGACUGAUCUGUAGGGCUGGUUCACAAGUUCCAGGGACCCCUUGGGACCCAGAAAGCAUUGGCGCCCCCACAAAAGGCCUUGUUCUCCAGAUCCCCUCUAGAACCCUGCUGCUGCUGCUGCCCAGUAUCUCCUGGCUUUGCAGCUGACUGCUAGAGGCAGCUCCCUGGGUCAUUUGGGUCUUUCUAUUUCCACCCUUGAUCUGGAAAGGUAAUAUAGAUCCAUGCAGUAAAGUGGAAAAGCAAAGCUCCUCUUGGGAAUUGCCUCUGGGGAUUAUUCAGCGAACAAAAAAGUUAUAUAAACAGUCAUGAAAAAGCAGUACAGCCCCAUAGCGAAAAAGAAAUAGAGG